CUACUACUCUCUCCGUCCAAAAAUACUUGUCAUUGAAAUGGAUGUAUCUAGAUGUAUUUUAGUUCUAGACACAUCCAUUUUGAUGACAAGUAAUUCUGGAUGGAGGGAGUAUUAU
rnacentral:pre_miRNA from 1 species